UCAGCCCAGGUGACCUGGCAAAGCACUGUAGGAGACGGACGCGCAAGGCUGAGGAGGUCUGGACCAUGAUUUCAGGGCGGCCUGAAGUCCACCCAGAGGAGCCCGAAGUAACUGUCGUGGAGGCCCAGGUGACCAGUCAGGCAGGUGACACUGGACCCAAAUCCCCCGAUGAGGAGGUCGCUGAGGAAGAGGAGAAUGACACUAGUAAACAGUGUGAUUCCAGAGAUGUCUUUGGCUGGGAGGCAGUUGAUGCCCUGGCAACCUACCUGGUUGACCUCAGAGUCAGUCAGAGAGGAAACCAGAGUGUGACACGUACAU